rnacentral:rRNA from 1 species
AUUGAACGCUGGCGGCAGGCCUAACACAUGCAAGUCGAACGGUAACAGGAAGAAGCUUGCUUCUUUGCUGACGAGUGGCGGACGGGUGAGUAAUGUCUGGGAAACUGCUGAUGGAGGGGGAUAACUACUGGAAACGGGAGCUAAUACCGCAUAACGUCGCAAGACCAAAGAGGGGGGCCUUCGGGCCUCUUGCCAUCGGAUGUGCCCAGAUGGGAUUAGCUAGUAGGUGGGGUAACGGCUCACCUAGGCGACGAUCCCUAGCUGGUCUGAGAGGAUGACCAGCCACACUGGAACUGAGACACGGUCCAGACUCCUACGGGAGGCAGCAGUGGGGAAUAUUGCACAAUGGGCGCAAGCCUGAUGCAGCCAUGCCGCGUGUAUGAAGAAGGCCUUCGGGUUGUAAAGUACUGUCAGCGGGGAGGAAGGGAGUAAAGUUAAUACCUUUGCUCAUUGACGUUACCCGCAGAAGAAGCACCGGCUAACUCCGUG